AUUGAACGCUGGCGGCAGGCCUAACACAUGCAAGUCGAGCGGAUGAAGGGAGCUUGCUCCUGGCUUCAGCGGCGGACGGGUGAGUAAUGCCUAGGAAACUGCCUGGUCGUGGGGGAUAACGUCCGGAAACGGGCGCUAAUACCGCAUACGUCCUGAGGGAGAAAGUGGGGGAUCUUCGGACCUCACGCUAUCAGAUGAGCCUAGGUCGGAUUAGCUAGUUGGUGGGGUAAAGGCCUACCAAGGCGACGAUCCGUAACUGGUCUGAGAGGAUGAUCAGUCACAGUGGAAGUGGGAGACGGUCCAGACUCCGACGGGAGGCAGCAGUGGGGAAGAUUGGAAAAUGGGGGAAAUCCUGAUCCAGCCAUGCCGCGUGUGUGAAGAAGGUCUUCGGAUUGUAAAGCACUUUAAGUUGGGAGGAAGGGCAGUAAGUUAAUACCUUGCUGUUUUGACGUUACCAACAGAAUAAGCACCGGCUAACUUCGUG
rnacentral:rRNA from 1 species